rnacentral:rRNA from 1 species
GAUGAACGCUAGCGGCAGGCUUAACACAUGCAAGUCGAGGGGUAUAGUUCUUCGGAGCUAGAGACCGGCGCACGGGUGCGUAACGCGUAUGCAAUCUACCUUUUGCAGAGGGAUAGCCCAGAGAAAUUUGGAUUAAUACCUCAUAGUAUGUGAGAAUGGCAUCAUUUUCACAUUAAAGUCACAACGGCAAAAGAUGAGCAUGCGUCCCAUUAGCUUGUUGGUAAGGUAACGGCUUACCAAGGCAACGAUGGGUAGGGGUCCUGAGAGGGAGAGCCCCCACACUGGUACUGAGACACGGACCAGACUCCUACGGGAGGCAGCAGUGAGGAAUAUUGGACAAUGGGCGCAAGCCUGAUCCAGCCAUGCCGCGUGCAGGAUGACGGUCCUAUGGAUUGUAAACUGCUUUUGUACAGGAAGAAACACUGGUUCGUGAACCAGCUUGACGGUACUGUAAGAAUAAGGAUCGGCUAACUCCGUGCCAGCAGCCGCAGUAAGAC